rnacentral:miRNA from 1 species
GAGAGAGAGAGAGAGAGAGAGAGAGAGAGAGAGAGAGAGAGAGUGAGCUGUGCACCCCAGUUAAGAGGCCAGAGAAUGAGAAUCCCCCUAGAAUUUUGAGAUUCUGUGUGUGCCCGUGCCUCAUUUGCGAGUGCGUGCGUGAGUCUGCCCGUGUUCGUGCUUCUGUUUCUGCUUGUCUUUGUAUGUGGUGGAAUGCAAUACUUUUACAGUUUGUUAAACUCUAUUUUUAGAGCUCCAUCUCUCCCGCUCUCUCUCUCUCUCUCUCUCUCUCUCUCUCUCUCUCU